rnacentral:rRNA from 1 species
UCAGAUUGAACGCUGGCGGCAGGCCUAACACAUGCAAGUCGAGCGGUAACAGGAAUUAGCUUGCUAACUCGCUGACGAGCGGCGGACGGGUGAGUAAUGCCUGGGAAUAUGCCUUAGUGUGGGGGAUAACUAUUGGAAACGAUAGCUAAUACCGCAUAAUGUCUUCGGACCAAAGAGGGGGACCUUCAGGCCUCUCGCGCUAAGAUUAGCCCAGGUGAGAUUAGCUUGUUGGUGAGGUAAGAGCUCACCAAGGCGACGAUCUCUAGCUGGUCUGAGAGGAUGAUCAGCCACACUGGAACUGAGACACGGUCCAGACUCCUACGGGAGGCAGCAGUGGGGAAUAUUGCACAAUGGGCGCAAGCCUGAUGCAGCCAUGCCGCGUGUAUGAAGAAGGCCUUCGGGUUGUAAAGUACUUUCAGUGGGGAGGAAGGUGUUGUCGUUAAUAGCGGCAGCAUUUGACGUUACCCACAGAAGAAGCACCGGCUAACUCCGUGCCAGCAGCCGCGGUAAUACGGAGGGUGCGAGCGUUAAUCGGAAUUACUGGGCGUAAAGCGCAUGCAGGUGGUUCAUUAAGUCAGAUGUGAAAGCCCGGGGCUCAACCUCGGAACCGCAUUUGAAACUGGUGAACUAGAGUGCUGUAGAGGGGGGUAGAAUUUCA